CCUACGGGUCGCACCAGUGGGGAAUAUUGGACAAUGGGCGCAAGCCUGAUCCAGCCAUGCCGCGUGAGUGUUGAAGGCCUUAGGGUUGUAAAGCUCUUUCACCGGAGAAGAUAAUGACGGUAUCCGGAGAAGAAGCCCCGGCUAACUUCGUGCCAGCAGCCGCGGUAAUACGAAGGGGGCUAGCGUUGUUCGGAAUUACUGGGCGUAAAGCGCACGUAGGCGGACAUUUAAGUCAGGGGUGAAAUCCCGGGGCUCAACCUCGGAACUGCCUUUGAUACUGGGUGUCUUGAGUGUGGAAGAGGUCAGUGGAGUUGCGAGUGUAGAGGUGAAACUCGUAGAUAUUCGCAGGAACACCAGUGGCGGAGGCGGCUGACUGGUCCACAACUGACGCUGAGGUGCGAAAGCGUGGGGAGCAAACAGGAUUAGAUACCCCCGUAGUC
rnacentral:rRNA from 1 species